rnacentral:rRNA from 1 species
GUCCAGACUCCUACGGGAGGCAGCAGUGAGGAAUAUUGGUCAAUGGGCGGAAGCCUGAACCAGCCAAGUCGCGUGAGGGAAGAAGGCCCUGCGGGUCGCAGACCUCUUUGGACGGGGAGCAAGGCCGCCGACGUGUCGGCGGAAGGAGAGUACCCGUAGAACAAGCAUCGGCUAACUCCGUGCCAGCAGCCGCGGUAAUACGGAGGAUGCGAGCGUUAUCCGGAUUUAUUGGGUUUAAAGGGUGCGUAGGCGGAAUAUCAAGUCAGCGGUAAAAAUUCGGGGCUCAACCCCGUCGUGCCGUUGAAACUGAUGUUCUUGAGUGGGCGAGAAGUACGCGGAAUGCGUGGUGUAGCGGUGAAAUGCAUAGAUAUCACGCAGAACUCCGAUUGCGAAGGCAGCGUACCGGCGCCCAACUGACGCUGAAGCACGAAGGCGUGGGUAUCGAACAGGAUUAGAUACCCUAGUAC